rnacentral:miRNA from 1 species
UGCCUCAUCAAUCGGAAGGAAUUCCUUCCAAUCAAUGAGGUUGUUAUACCUCAUCAAUCAGAAGGAUUUCCUUCAGAUUGAUGAGGUU